rnacentral:rRNA from 1 species
UUGGGCCCGACGUCGCAUGCUCCCGGCCGCCAUGGCGGCCGCGGGAAUUCGAUUAGAGUUUGAUCAUGGCUCAGAGCGAACGCUGGCGGCAGGCCUAAAACAUGCAAGUCGAACGCCGUAGCAAUACGGAGUGGCAGACGGGUGAGUAACACGUGGGAACGUACCCUUUGGUUCGGAACAACACAGGGAAACUUGUGCUAAUACCGGAUAAGCCCUUACGGGGAAAGAUUUAUCGCCAAAGGAUCGGCCCGCGUCUGAUUAGCUAGUUGGUGGGGUAACGGCCCACCAAGGCUACGAUCAGUAGCUGGUCUGAGAGGAUGAUCAGCCACACUGGGACUGAGACACGGCCCAGACUCCUACGGGAGGCAGCAGUGGGGAAUAUUGCGCAAUGGGCGAAAGCCUGACGCAGCGACGCCGCGUGAGGGACGAAGGCCUUCGGGUUGUAAACCUCUUUCAGCAGGGACGAAGCGAAAGUGACGGUACCUGCAGAAGAAGCACCGGCCAACUACGUGCCAGCAGCCGCGGUAAUACGAAUCACUAGUGAAUUCGCGGCCGCCUGCAGGUCGACCAUAUGGGAGAGCUCCCAA